ACAGAUUCUACCUAGCAAACAGCUGUAGAGCUUAGUGUUCCUAAAAGCUCAUGCUUAUUAUUAACAGCAGGGUUGAUGAGAACACCACAUCUGACAGCUGGGCAGCUUGGAAUGUCGGGGUACUGCACCUCUUCUCCAAGCAUCCAGAACCACUCAUCAGCCAGGCACUGUAGAUCACUAGGGAUGCCACCCCCUGAUGUUUAAGUGACCCGUGAAGGAUACAGAUGCCGACCACGAACGCUCCGAUCCCCAGGCCGGUCAGCAGGUUCCUGCUACGUAUUCGCGC